GUGCUUACACAUGCAAGUCGAACGAUGAACCACUUCGGUGGGGAUUAGUGGCGAACGGGUGAGUAACACGUGGGCAAUCUGCCCUUCACUCUGGGACAAGCCCUGGAAACGGGGUCUAAUACCGGAUAACACUGCGGAUCGCAUGGUCUGCGGUUAAAAGCUCCGGCGGUGAAGGAUGAGCCCGCGGCCUAUCAGCUUGUUGGUGAGGUAAUGGCUCACCAAGGCGACGACGGGUAGCCGGCCUGAGAGGGCGACCGGCCACACUGGGACUGAGACACGGCCCAGACUCCUACGGGAGGCAGCAGUGGGGAAUAUUGCACAAUGGGCGAAAGCCUGAUGCAGCGACGCCGCGUGAGGGAUGACGGCCUUCGGGUUGUAAACCUCUUUCAGCAGGGAAGAAGCGAAAGUGACGGUACCUGCAGAAGAAGCGCCGGCUAACUACGUGCCAGCAGCCGCGGUAAUACGUAGGGCGCAAGCGUUGUCCGGAAUUAUUGGGCGUAAAGAGCUCGUAGGCGGCUUGUCACGUCGAUUGUGAAAGCCCGAGGCUUAACCUCGGGUCUGCAGUCGAUACGGGCUAGCUAGAGUGUGGUAGGGGAGAUCGGAAUUCCUGGUGUAGCGGUGAAAUGCGCAGAUAUCAGGAGGAACACCGGUGGCGAAGGCGGAUCUCUGGGCCAUUACUGACGCUGAGGAGCGAAAGCGUGGGGAGCGAACAGGAUUAGAUACCCUGGUAGUCCACGCCGUAAACGGUGGGAACU
rnacentral:rRNA from 1 species